AGCGCAUACAUAACCACUUAUACAUUCUUAGGAGACAAAAUAAAAAUCAGAAAUAAUGGAGAGAAAAAUCCUUUUCAGCAUGCACUUCUUUCUCAUUAUUGUCUUAAUUGCUCAAGAAGCAGUGAUGCAAAUUGAUCAGUCAUGUGAGAUAAGAUGUAUUAGGUUUAAAGGUGCAUGCAAUGAUGAACUAGACGGCCAUGUUUGUAACAUUAUGUGCCUUUUGAUGAAUAAACUUAUAUCUAGUGGUUCCUGCAUAAAUGAUAAAUGCAUUUGUUAUACCUAACGUAUCCAAUAUAUAAUUAUAUUAUUAUACUAUAUA